rnacentral:rRNA from 1 species
GCAUGGAUUAGGCAUGCAAGUCGAACGAUCUUUUCGGAGAUAGUGGCGAAAGGGUGAGUAGCGCGUGAGCAACCUGCCUCGAAGUUCGGAAUAGCCCGUGGAAACGCGGAUUAAUACCGGAUGUAGCCCAAACCCUGCGGGGUUUGCAGCUAAAAUUUUUUGCUUCGAGAUGGGCUCGCGUUCCAUUAUGCUUGUUGGUGAGGUAACGGCUCACCAAGGCUAUGACGGAUAGGUGGUCUGAGAGGACGGUC